rnacentral:rRNA from 1 species
GUAGGGGGCAAGGGUUGUCCGGAUUUAUUGGGCGUAAAGGGCGCGUAGGCGGCUCUGCACGUUCGUUGUGAAAUCGCCCGGCUCAACUGGGCGGGGUCAGCGGAUACGGCAGAGCUUGAGCAAGCUAGGGGGCAAUGGAAUUCCCGGUGUAGUGGUGGAAUGCGUAGAUAUCGGGAGGAACACCAGUGGCGAAGGCGGUUGCCUGGGGCUUUGCUGACGCUGAUGCGCGAAAGCGUGGGGAGCGAUCCGG